rnacentral:rRNA from 1 species
UGGGGAAUAUUGCACAAUGGGGGAAACCCUGAUGCAGCAACGCCGCGUGAAGGAUGAAGGUUUUCGGAUCGUAAACUUCUAUCAACAGGGACGAAACAAAUGACGGUACCUGAAUAAGAAGCCCCGGCUAACUACGUGCCAGCAGCCGCGGUAAUACGUAGGGGGCAAGCGUUAUCCGGAAUUACUGGGUGUAAAGGGAGCGUAGGCGGCACGUCAAGCCAGAUGUGAAAGCCCGGGGCUUAACCCCGUGGAUUGCAUUUGGAACUGGCGAGCUAGAGUACAGGAGAGGAAAGCGGAAUUCCUAGUGUAGCGGUGAAAUGCGUAGAUAUUAGGAAGAACACCAGUGGCGAAGGCGGCUUUCUGGACUGAAACUGACGCUGAGGCUCGAAAGCGUGGGGAGCAAACAGGAUUAGAUACCC